AGAGCGAAAGGGAAAAGGCGAGCGCGGCACGAUCGAGCCCGGCGAAAUCGAACUACGCAAUGUGGACGCCGACAUCGGCAUCAAAGGGUAUAUUCCGCUCGAUCUCGGUUCGACAGGCCGAAUCGCGCUCGGCACAAAAACCGAAGACGCGCUGACCGAGCUCAAGCUGAAGAGUAAGACGACGAGUCAUCUGCAAUGGUCGUUGGAGCAGAUGGCGGUGACCAUCGAUGAGUUGAAUUUCGGGUCCACCAAGGUAAGCGGUGACAAGCUGGGGGGUGCUGAAAUCCAAAUCAGCAAAGUAGAGAACGGCAAGCUGACGUUUACCAACGGGAAGGUCAUGAGCCCCAAGGAACUGGAAGGCACCGUCACGAGC
rnacentral:misc_RNA from 1 species